rnacentral:lncRNA from 10 species
UUUACAUACAGAGUACUCACAACAAUCCUGUGAACCAGUAUCUUGAAAAUUAUCUCUGGAUGAAUUAUUCUCCUGAGGUAUCUAGCAAGGCCUAUUUAAUGUCAAUCUGCUGUAUGGUGAAUGAGAAGUUUAGAGAAAACGUGCCUGCAUGGGAGAUUUUUAAGAAGAAGCCAGACCACUUCCCAUUCUUUUUUAAACACAUCUUGAAGGCGGCAUUAGCUGAAACUGAUGGUGAAUUUUCACUUCAUGAACAGACAGUCUUACUACUUUUUCUUGAUCA